AUUUUAUUUAUCUUACGUAAGUGUCAGGGAAUUUUUACAAUAAUUUAAUCGUCAAGUUCAAAUGUGACGGGAAUGAAAUUACAUAAAUUCUCAUUCUUAUUGUCUUAUAUGUCACUAGUAAGUCAGCGACAACUUUGCUGCAGCCUCAAACUAUUUAUUGUAAUUGCGACACAAAAUAUAAAUUUACUUAAAAUGUCGAAGCUCAUUAUUUUAAUACUUUUGGUUUCAUUGUUUGCCAUCGGAGCAAAUGCAUGCGCAGAACAUGGAGCUGACUGUACCAAUGAAGAGUGCUGCGGUGGAAACAUUUGCAAGCGUAAUUAUUUUAAUUAUUUAACCUGUAAGGCUGAAGUACCUUUAUGGCGUAACCGCGGAUGAUUAUAACCUCGACUUCAUUUUUUAAGAAAUUAUUUAAAUUAUUGUAAUGAAAAAUUAAUUAUCUGUUAAAAUUAGAACAUAAUAAAUAAUGUAAUUGUUUUAAAAUUA